GAUGAACGCUGGCGGCGUGCCUAAUACAUGCAAGUCGAGCGAACAGAUGAGGAGCUUGCUCCUCUGACGUUAGCGGCGGACGGGUGAGUAACACGUGGAUAACCUACCUAUAAGACUGGGAUAACUUCGGGAAACCGGAGCUAAUACCGGAUAAUAUAUUGAACCGCAUGGUUCAAUAGUGAAAGACGGUUUUGCUGUCACUUAUAGAUGGAUCCGCGCCGCAUUAGCUAGUUGGUAAGGUAACGGCUUACCAAGGCAACGAUGCGUAGCCGACCUGAGAGGGUGAUCGGCCACACUGGAACUGAGACACGGUCCAGACUCCGACGGGAGGCAGCAGUAGGGAAUCUUCCGCAAUGGGCGAAAGCCUGACGGAGCAACGCCGCGGGAGUGAUGAAGGUCUUCGGAUCGUAAAACUCUGUUAUUAGGGAAGAACAAAUGUGUAAGUAACUAUGCACGUCUUGACGGUACCUAAUCAGAAAGCCACGGCUAACUACGU
rnacentral:rRNA from 1 species